rnacentral:lncRNA from 1 species
UGGGGGCACCUGGGAUGGAAUCAAAUGCAUCUGCAGUGUCCUCUUCUAUGGCACUAAGUGUGAAUUGGUUUCAGACAGCCUUCCCAUAGGUAAGCCAAACAUCUCUGGGUCUCAGGGCUCUGAGCAUAGCUUCAUCAACAGCUGAGGUGAGUAUAGGGGAGUGAAAGGGGACGAAAGGUACCCGAACAAUCCUCAGGGACAAGGUGGAAGGUCACAAAGCACGGGGGAUAGAGAGGGUUCAUUCUGAAUGAUUUGUAUGCUCAUAAUCAAGUCCAUUUCCACCAGGAACUCCUCCAGAAGAGGUCAAUGCUACCGUGGGAGUGAAAGUGACUGUGACCAAUAUGGAAUUUACAAAGGACUUAGAAAACACAUCUUCGGAUGCCUACAAGAGUUUCGCUGAACUGUUCAAAACACAGAUGGAUACCAUUUUCCAAAACGUCUCUCACUAUGUUGGUGUGGAGAUCAAGAAGCUUUCAAAUGGCAGUAUACUGGUGGAGUAUGAUGUGAUCCUGUCAACAAGUUUCACCCCAGAUUACAUGACAGAAUUGGAGACUAGUGCAAAGAAGGUAGAGGAAACAAUUACAACAGUAAUCAUUGAGCAAGGAGACACAAACUGCACAGGUAAGUGCCCCAUCUCACCCCUGCUCAAGUUUUUCUCUUAUUACCUCCCUCUACAUACACGAUGCAUAAACUGCCUCUACACUUGCCUUUGUUCCCCCAGGGUCAGUCCCCGUGUCUGUGAUGUCUUCCCUCUCCCUUUGUAUUUGGUGAAUUUUUACCCCUCCUUUAAAAGCCAAUUCAAAAGCCACUUCCCUGGGAAAACCUGCCCUUGGGUUCCUUGUACCUAACCACCUCUCCCCCUCCUACCCCCCACCUCAGGC